rnacentral:rRNA from 1 species
GACGAACGCUGGCGGCGCGCUUAACACAUGCAAGUCGAACGGUGAACCGGGCUUCGGCCCGGGGAUCAGUGGCGAACGGGUGCGUAACACGUGGGCAACCUGCCCCUCACUCUGGGAUAACCCCGGGAAACCGGAGCUAAUACCGGAUACUCCGGCUGGAUCGCAUGGUCCGGUCGGGAAAGGUCCGCCGGUGAGGGAUGGGCCCGCGGCCUAUCAGCUUGUUGGUGAGGUCACGGCUCACCAAGGCGACGACGGGUAGCUGGUCUGAGAGGACGACUAGCCACACUGGGACUGAGAUACGGCCCAGACUCCUACGGGAGGCAGCAGUGGGGAAUCUUGCGCAAUGGGCGAAAGCCUGACGCAGCGACGCCGCGUGGGGGACGAAGGCCCUCGGGUUGUAAACCCCUUUCGGCAGGGACGAAGCGAUCGUGACGGUACCUGCAGAAGAAGCCUCGGCUAACUACGUGCCAGCAGCCGCCGUAAUAC